rnacentral:rRNA from 1 species
CCCUUAGAUGUUCUGGGCUGCACGCGUGCUACAAUGGCGCUUACAACAAGUCUUGCCAACCCGAUAGGGUGAGCGGAUCUUUGAAGAGGCGUCGUGAUCGGGACAGUUGACUGCAAUUAUUCGACUCGAACGAGGAAUUCCUUGUAAUCGCGAUUCAUCAUAUCGCGCUGAAUACGUCCCUGCCCUUUGUACACACCGCCCGUCGCUCCUACCGAUUGAGCGAUCCGGUGAAUGUUUUGGACUGGCGUCAGAAGCGGUUCGCUCCUGACACUACGAAAUUUUGUAAACCUUAUCGCUUAGAGGAAGGAAAAGUCGUAACA